rnacentral:rRNA from 1 species
GAGUUUGAUCAUGGCUCAGGAUGAACGCUAGCGAUAGGCUUAACACAUGCAAGUCGAGGGGCAUCGGGUAAGUAGCUUGCUACUUAUGCCGGCGACCGGCGCACGGGUGCGUAACGCGUAUGCAACCUACCUGUCAGACUGGGAUAACCCGGUGAAAGCCGGACUAAUACUGGAUAUACUUAUUCUUCUGCAUGGGGGGAUAAGGAAAGAUUUAUUACUGACAGAUGGGCAUGCGUUCCAUUAGCUAGUUGGUGAGGUAACGGCUCACCAAGGCGACGAUGGAUAGGGGAACUGAGAGGUUUAUCCCCACACUGGUACUGAGACACGGACCAGACUCCUACGGGAGGCAGCAGUGAGGAAUAUUGGUCAAUGGGCGAGAGCCUGAACCAGCCAAGUCGCGUGAGGGCAGACGGUCCUAAGGAUUGUAAACCUCUUUUUCAGGGGAGUAAAAUUAGAUACGCGUAUUAAUGCAAGUCCCUGNAUA